UGUUUGUGUUUGAUAAAAAAGCUUUCCAAUGCUUCAAGUUUUUGGAAAAACAAUCAAUUGUUUCUCAUUGAAAGGCACAGACUCGUGUUUCAUUUAUAGUCUGGCUGCUAAAAAAUGGUUCCUCACCAUGGACACAGGAGGAGCAAGGACAAAAAAAAACCAUGUUAUUUAGUGAAGGCCACAGAGUGGUUAUGAAAUCAUAUCCUUCAGUCUAAUUCCAUGAAUGCAGUGUGCAGAAUAAAGCUUCCAAUGGAUUUAGUAUUUUACUUGAUUAAUUUCUAUUCUUAGUCUGGCCUUAAACAGAGCUUUUUUUUUUUUUUAAAUUGGUAGCUUAACUGCCAGCACUGAUCAGACUUACUGGCCACCAUCACUCUGCCCAUUUGUGUAUUUGUCUGCGAAAGUUUCCCUUCCUUUUUUUUGUUUAAACACAAAGUAAACCUCUUCCCCCUAACCUUAAACUAACACAAUCUGUUGUUCCUUGGACUUAUUUGACUGGCUUGCAAAACAAACCAUCUCUUGGCAUUUUCCAGUCAAGCGGAAAAGCUGCCUUCUUACAGUAAGAGAAAUAAAUGAAAAAGUAAAACAAACUCACUGACAGCAAUGGGGGCCGGAAGGUAUUCCGUUAAGCCGGGGCAACAGGCAGUUUUGUGGGAUUGUUAUUAGUCAGUUAAAAAAAAAACUGUAAUGCUCUCCAGGCCAGCCAUACUCUGUGUUGACACCACUGC